GAUCCUGGCUCAGAUUGAACGCUGGCGGCAUGCCUUACACAUGCAAGUCGAACGGUAACAGGUCUUUCGGGAUGCUGACGAGUGGCGAACGGGUGAGUAAUACAUCGGAACGUGCCUAGUAGUGGGGGAUAACUACUCGAAAGAGUGGCUAAUACCGCAUGAGAUCUAUGGAUGAAAGCAGGGGACCUUCGGGCCUUGUGCUACUAGAGCGGCCGAUGGCAGAUUAGGUAGUUGGUGGGAUAAAAGCUUACCAAGCCUACGAUCUGUAGCUGGUCUGAGAGGACGAUCAGCCACACUGGGACUGAGACACGGCCCAGACUCCUACGGGAGGCAGCAGUGGGGAAUUUUGGACAAUGGGGGAAACCCUGAUCCAGCAAUGCCGCGUGCAGGAUGAAGGCCUUCGGGUUGUAAACUGCUUUUGUACGGAACG
rnacentral:rRNA from 1 species